rfam:Pantoea ananatis LMG 20103, complete genome.
CCCAGAGGUAUUGAUGGGUGAACAUCAACUGAUUUUUUCUUGAUUACACCGACCUGCGUAGAUACGCAGGUUUUUUUU